GCGGGACCUGGCAAGCCACGGUUUCCGCCGCGCUGCGCGGGCCUGGGAGCUGCCGGAGUGAACCCCGCGGGCGGUUCUGACUCUGCUGUCAGGGUAGGGGACAGAGAGAGAACGUAAGGUCCGUCCAGGGCGAGCAAACGUUAUUAAGGAAGAAAGCCGCCCGCGCCCUCCGUAGCCACCUGAGCGGAGGUUCUCACCUAUUCGAGAACUAAUGGAGAUGGGGUCUCACUAUGUUUUCCAGGCUGGAGUCCAGUGGCUAUUCACAGGUGCUAUGAUUAUAGCACACUACAGUGUCAUACUCCUGGCCUCAAGCAAUCCUCCUGCCUGAGCCUCUUGAGUAGCUGAGACUACAGGUGCAUGCCGCCAUGCCUGGCUGAUCAGAGUUUACUCAUUCAUUAUAUUAAACUUUACCUGUUUAACCUACA